CCUAGGAGGUGAUGCUCCUGACAGUUUGAUUACUCAGACUCUGAAGUGAAAAUGCCCAACCAAAGAGAUCUGUUGAGAGAGACAAAAACCAGCAUCACAUUAAAAUAAGAAAAUCAGGAUUUUUGUGAAGGACACGGUCGUGUAUUUGCAUGUUGCUGAAACCCAAAGGUAGCUAUUUUAGGGUUAUUUUUGGAGGGAAAAAGGAGAGACACAGCCUGGCUGCUCCUGUUUUCUCAGCCAUGAGGGAGAGGUCCUGUCAGAGUGGUCCCUGUGUGACUGAUCAGUCAGAACCUGAUGGGAGUCAGAUUCUCCCCUCCAAAGUUCUGUUUUCUUCUCACUGAAGAAGAAACUUCCAGCUCUCAGGUCUUCUCAUACCUCUGGAGAGGACACCACGCCUGAAGUGAUUGUGAAGAACACCUCAAACAAACAAAAAAACAAGUUAAUUUGUCUUCAUCAGAUCCUGUCCAGAAUGCAUUGUAACUGGUUGAAAUUUUGCUGAGAGUUGGGGAGGGAAGAAAACAGAACUAAUCUGAUCAUAGCAGGGGGAAGCAAGUUCAUUUUCUCAACCUGGAGAAGUGUCUUCAAGCUCACCCCUGGUGGAAGGUCCGUGGGUUUUAGCGCUGCAGACUCCUAAAUCUAGUCAAAACACCUCUGCGGGAAGAAAAUAAAAGCUAGAGAAUGAGCAGAGAAAUACCUGUUCUUUAAAAAUCAGCUUUAAGCUGAAUGACUGCACAACUACUUGAUUAUGAGCUGCCCUGUAAUCCCCAAAUCCUACUGAAUUCACACCCUGGCGACGUAGCAAUGUCAAAGGGAUGCAACUGGUAAUUCUGCCUGGCUGUUAAACUGCCUCAUGUCACCCUAUUUCCAAUGGCUGCUGACAAGGGGGAGAGCGUGCAGGAGGAUGGGCAGGGGCUGGGAGCACUUUCAUCCUGCUGAGGCUGUGUGUGUGUGAGCAUCCCGGGGGAUCCCUCCUCGGGAAGCGCCGCAGAGCCGCCGGCGGUGCGCGGUGCCGAUAAGGAGAUGAAACAAUGGCUGCGACACUGGGAGCCUUCACGGGAUGACUUGACCACCCUGUGCUUUGUGAGUUUUGAUGCCCUUCCCUCUUUCCUUGCUCAAAGGAAACCUGUUUGUGUUUGGACAUCUGGGGAAGAUGAUACAAAGCCGGCAAGAUCUCGUAUUGGUAAGACACCACUGAUAUCUUCUGGUCUUGAGCAGCAAUCCAGUGUCUCCCAACUGUUUUCUCCCUAUGUGUCACCCUCAAAGUUUGCCUUAGUGUGCAAAUGGCCCCAGCACAAUGAUGGAUGGAGGAAGGCAGCAGAGCUUGGGUGGGGGACAGAUUGAGGAGGCUGUGUCAGCACUAAGCAGGAAGCCACGCAUGUGCUUUCCUUUCCCAUCACCAAACCUCCCAAGUCCCUUCACUCUGGGGUGCCUGUCCCCUACGUGGGUAUGUCCAGGCCUGAAUCUAGUGGUUUUCCAUUCCUCUGCUCUUUCCACAGUAAGUCACUUUGCCAGUUUGCAUCCUUCCCUUGCAGGGCAGUGCUGCUACCAGGGAAAAAGAGUGGGAUGGGGGUGGCAGAGAGGAUCAGCAGGAUGUGGCUCUUAGAGACAGUUUGGCAUCUUACUACCCAUGGACACCCACCUCAGUGGGGUCAGGAGAUCCCUGUGGAUGCGCAGGUGCAUUCCACAGCAGUUGCAUCCAUGCCAUCCCUGCAGCCAGGUCCCUGUGACUGUAGCCUCACAUUUCAUUUCCAAAGAACUACAGAGGAUUUUCUGGUGUUAAAUUCUGUCUUGCUGAUGUGUUUGUUGAGUCAGCGCCCCACUCAGCCUCAACCUGAAACACAGCUUGGGACUAUUAGUACAGUUCCUAAUUUCGGCUGUGCUUAUGAGCCUUCAGCUUGAGUUUGCUCUCUCACUGGAGUCACUGUUUACUAUAACAUAAUUCUUCUAAAUUCAUACCCAUCCUCUCAACACACACGUCUCUCUCAGAGAUUUUCAUGCAUUUAAAUGAAAAAGCCAUAUAGUUCCUUUUCCUCAUUCACAUUAUGCAGCAUUGCCCUUCUCUGUACCUUGUCCUGUUUCAGAGCUGUCAUGCAAAUAAACCCAACUUAAAAAAAAUCAUUUAAAAGUGUGCAUCCUAUCAACCUUUUUUUUCCUUCUCAUGCUGUAUCUUCUCCUUCCUGCCUUCCUAUUUCUGAUGUUUCCACUUCUUUCCUAACUGUGAUCCAGUAUCUUUAUGGUUCCCCAGUUGCCCAGGAAACAAACCCUGACUCCCUUUUCCUCAACGUGUAGUAUUCACUAUUCCAUGAAGCUACUGUUUCCUGAAGUAUUUUAUUGUGGGAUUUUUCCCUAAACUACUCCAGAUGGGAGAAUUCUCCUUUUCAGUCCCUGUACUGAGGCACCCCCUUUCCUUUAUCCACCUGAGUCUACCUGCAUAAAGCAGUCAUUUCAUUCUCUGCCUCCAUCACUGCAGUAUCUGACUGAAUUCAGCAUAAUUUCUUUGAGUGUACUGAACAGUCACCCUUCUGCAAGGCAUUCUUCAUGGAUUCCCAUGGGAUUGCUGUGUUGGGCACAGAACAGAGAUCCUCUUUAGCAGACACUAAAGAUGGAGAAUGCAGAUCUGGCUCUGGGGUUCCUGGUGGGGUCCCUGGAGGCAGGGGGUGUCAGCAGGAAGGAUCAUUUGUCCUUCCUCUUGGCUCGAGUGCACAGCACUUGUUAUUGACUCUCCUGAGCAACAACCAUAAAGCCAAAUCAGACACUCUCCCAGAAGGAGAAAACCACCAGAAAAUGAAAAAAAACCCAAAACAACCAACCCUAAAAAUUAUCCCAGUAUAUACAAUGGGGGAGGGAUUUAAAGAGUAAAAUGCAGGUUGUCCCCGUGCAAUGAGGAUCUUGUUGUUGCUGCAGCUGGGACUCUGUGAGGGAAUGUGGGUGUUGGUGUGGCUGUGGUGGGGAGUUUGCACAAGUCACAGGUGGAGAGAGCGAGAGACACUGGAGCAGGUAUGGAAGAACCACUCAAGGCUUUUGCCUGUAAUCCUCUCAUCUCUGAUAUUCCCUACAGAGACCCCUGAUGGCCAAGAGAUUGCCUUUUGCAAAAUGAAAUAUGCCCUGGAGUGAGAUCUCCAGUUUGUGGUAAAAAUAACUAUUACUUCACAGGCCCAUGGAAAAGCACCUGCCUGGGUAGCAGGAGACUGGCAAACCACAGAUACAAAAAUGGAUGUGACAAGUUCUGCGCUGAACAUCUAUUGUUGAAGUUAAGCUGCCCCAUCUUCCCUUUUUCCUUGUAAAACUUUGUAUUAUCUUGAUUUUUAGUGACACAUGGAAGGUAAAAUGGUCUAAAUCUUAAUGAUUCAUGGGAUGGGGACUGUUUGUCAGCUUCAAUAAAUCUGUUAGCUUCUUUGACAGUGAGGAGGGAAGAGCUGUUUCGAAUUCAUGGUAUGUUUUAAAAGUUUCUUUCAAAGUGUACUGUUUUUUUCUCUCCUCUCAUGUUUCUCAGAAGAAACCAGCCUGCCAAACUGCUCCAGGAAGCUCUUCUGAGAUAGAGACAUCCAUCUCUGUGUACGGUCUGUACUUGUGAAGCAGAGCACAAAGCCCUUUUUCCAUUUAAUCCAUAUUAAUUAUCUCUCUGCAGCUCCUCUCUAGUUUCCACUCAUCCCAGGCACCAGAAACUUGUGUGGCUACAUCUCAAACAAACCAGAGCCUUUCACUAACCACCUGGUAAGUCAACACGCUAAAAAUAAAAAUAAAUAGAAAGGUUUACUGCUGAAGGAUUGAAGCUUUGAAACGGAAUGCCGUGGGACUGUGGACUAAGGUGGAUAUUUUUAGUGCCAUCAAUAUCUCUUGGAGUUGAUAUCUCCCAAGACAGAUGGUUGUUUCCCACAGAACGUUGUCAAAUGUUUGCUCAGCCAAGAUCAAUUUUGUUCCAAGUCCUUUCCCACCUUCUGCUGAAAUACAUUUCACUUGCCAGACAAAAAAUUACAGAAACAGCAUGAAACCUUGCCACUGUAGAAGGUUCUGGUCCCCGUGGCUCUGCUGUGCCCUUUGCCGUGUGACUGACAUCUCUCUCUUGGUGCUGGGGAGGAAUAAAAGAUGCACUCAUGCCGUGAGCACAUCAGGGCUCUCAGAUCCCAUGUCAGAGGCUGAUUUCCUGUGGCACCUGCACGUCACUUCUCAGCCUGUCAAAGGGCCUUGCUGCCACGCUUUGCUCUUCAUCUCCUGGAUCCUGAGCUCUUGACCUGCACACCCCAAAUUGAUCUUGCAAGAAAACGAGGUGCAAGAGUGAAUGUAUCUCCUGGAUCCUGAGCUCUUGACCUGCACACCCCAAAUUGAUCUUGCAAGAAGACGAGGUGCAAGGGGGAAGGAGGAGCAGAAGUGGUGCUGAAGAGGGGGCACAGAGAGGCUGAGUUUGUGCCCAUUGCUCAGCAACUGCAGCUUUUCUUUUAAUUCCAAGCCCAAGUGAGUCUGGAGACAUGGAAGCCCUUUGUGGUGUCUGGCAGCGUGCGUGGGUCUGUGGGCAUUUUCAGCUGAAAUCAGUGGGGAGCAAAGGACUUUUCAAAGGGUGGUGUGAGAUGUGUUUAUUUUCUUUUCCUUGCUGGUUGCUAUUUUUAGCUGAGCCUGGUUUGUCACAGUGUAAGAGACAGAGCUGGUUCUUUCCAAAGUUCCCUUAUAAUGCCUGAUUGUUACAAGUGAGAAAUUACAGCAGGCAGCGACAGCAGCAGUUCCUGAAAUGUUAUGAUGAUUCCUUCCUGCUACACUUAUCUUGUUGUGGCUCUGUAUUUGGAAAUUGUUAAUACAUGGUUGUUUUCUAGCAAGGAUUUGGCAAUCCAGGCUCAGUAGGGUAUCUCUCAUUUUUAUUGCUUCAUACACAAAAAUAAUACUGAUUUAGUUUUGUAAUUCUAAAUCCUUUUGAAAAUGCGACAAAAUCAAAUUCAUUCUUCUGCACACUGAAAGGUACAUUGGAUCAUCCAGAAUAUCCUUUCCAUGCUGAUCCAUAAUCUUUACUAUUAGAGAUUCAGAGGCAGGUGAGGCUCUCAUUGGAAGGGAGAUCAAUGCUAUGAUGCCCAAAAAUAGUUUUCAUCCUUAAUUUAGUUGUCAGAGUGAUCUAUUCACACCCCCCUGACAUCUUAAACAGCCCCUAUAUCCUCAGACUGCUUUUGCAGAACAGGAUUAUAGUUGAAAGAAAUGUGCAGGCCUUAGUAUUGUUUGAGAUUUGCCUGGGAUUUAUUAAUAUUUCACUCCUGCAUUUUCCUUAGGAUUACAGACCCUUGAUCCUUCACUCAUGUAGGAGGCAUUUUCAGCCUCCUCCUGCCAAAUGAGCAUCUUCACUGUUACCAGAGUACUGUGGAUGCAUAACCAUACAUACAUAUAUGCACAACUUAUUACUAAAUUGUUAACCUGCAAAAAUCACUUUCUGUCACCUGGCAAAGUCAAGUGGAAGCCUCGGUGUAAGGCCUUUUCUUAUAUGGACUUCAUUUUUUAAUUUUAUAUUUUUUUUAUAACCUGUCAAUGGAAACAAGGUUUGCAGUGUCAUAGAGACUCCUGGGAGGGAGUGGAUGUGAGGAUAAAUGGAUCAUUUGGCCUGCAGGUGGGUUUGGAACAACCCAAUCCCUAUCCUCUUGUACAAAGCCUUCUUGUGCAAAGAGGAAUAAGGGGAAUGCAACAAUUCCAUAUAUAAAAAUCUGGGAAAGGAAAACCUGAAACAUACACAAACUUUGUGUAUGUCUUUGUGUAAGAUGGUGUUUUUUAUUAAGCCUUAUUUUAUCUAUGUCAUAGAAUCACAGAAUGGUUUGGAAUGGACCUUAAGGACCAUCCAGUUCCAACCCAUCUGCCAUGAGCAGGGACACUUUCCACUAUCCCAGGUUGCUCCAAGCCCCAUCCAGCCUGGCCUCAAACACUUCCAGGGAUGGGGCAGCCACAGCUUCUCUGGGCAACCUGGGCCAGGGCCUCACCACCCUCAGAGGGAAAAAUUUCUUCCUAAUAUUUAAUCUGACCCUGCCCUCCGAUAGUUGAAGCCAUUCCCUUUUGUCCUGUCACUACAUGUCCUAUUUAACAGCUGGCUUCUCUCCUGCUCUUUUUGGGAGCUUUCUGAUCUGCUUCAAGCUGUAAGGAGAAAAAAAACCUUCUUCCUUUCUCCUUAAGAAUAUUCAUGUGCAAAGGCCAAGCUCCUGCUCUUACAUCUUUGCUUGGGAGUUCGUCUCCCAGAUACAUUAAUUUGUGGAACGUUGUCAUUGUUAAGAUCCAAAUUAAGCUGCCUAUCCUGUAAAGGAUCCCCCCUGCCUGAAGCAAAACAGAACACUUAAUGCAUUUUUUAUAAAGAAUGCCAUUAAGGAUGCAUAAAAGGCAUGUUGUAAAUAUUAAAGUGAGACUAUCACUUUUUUUCUUUCCUUACUCCAUAAAGCAGAGGAGAAAAAUCUACAGGUCAAAUUCCUUCUGAUGCAAAUUAAGCCAGAUUCUUUGAUUUCAAGUGCUUUGUCCAUUUCUUUUACUAUGGUGUUAGAAUUUCUUCCUGAGCUCUGAAACAGCCCUGCUAGGAUGUUUGAAAAUGUGGCAAGUUCAAUUAUAGAACUAUGCAAUAGUGCAGCUAUAAAAACACUUGCAUGUGAACAGAGCAAGAACAGAGAACAUACAUGAAUAUUUCUAGAUAUGUUGAGGUUGUCUAAAGCUGGUCCCUGGCCAAGGCAGGUUUGACACAGAGCUCAGGGUUUUAUGAGACUCCCAUGAGCAAUGUUGGCCCAAGACUUGGUGCAUGCAUCUCCCAGGCAUGUUGCCUGCUAGGCUGUUAUCCCACCUAGUGGCUGCUCUCCCAUCCCACAAGGUGAUUUUCUUCCAGGAUAUUGGUGGAUCAAGCCAAGGCCUGAUGUAUUCCUGCAGUUAGCAGUGAAUGUGCUUCCACAUUGCUUAGUCGGGUGGUCAAACGUGUGCCCUCGCCUUGACUGCGUUACACCAGGGAUAGGUUUCAUGUUCUCAUCACCUGAAUUUGUGCAUCAAAUACAGAUGCCUGUCUAGUACAGCCAGCUUCCAGUGUGAGUGCUCCGCAUCACUCUUCUUAUUACACAACCACAGAAUCGUUUGGGUUGGAAACGCAAGAUCUUCUCGAGUCCAGCCAUUACCCAGCACAGCCAGGCUCACCACUAACUCAUGGCCCCAGGCAAAACACCUAAGUGGCUUUUAAAUACCUCCAGGGCUGGUGACUCCACCCCUUCUCUGGGCAUCCUGUUCCAAUGCUUAACAACCAUUUCAACGAAGAAAUUUUUCCUAAUAUCCAAUCUAAAGAUCCCAUGGUGCAACUUGAAGCCAUUUCCACUUGUUACUUGGGAGAAGACACUCACAACAACCAUGCUGUGUCUUCCUCUUAAUUUGGGCACAUGAGAUAAUGUGAAGAAGGCCCUCCCUGUCCCUACUUGUGGGACCAUCUCAAGUUUACCUAAGUCCCUAACAGCAGUCACAGGAGUGACUUUUAUCUUCUCUGCUGUCAGUACACAGGUGUAUAUUGACAACACCCCUACUCACUGUCUAUCCACUUCCCCAUCAGCUCAACGCUGACCUGAGUGAAGGCAAAAAUAAAAUUUGCCUUCCAAAGAAGUAGGGUUCAAGCCAAACUUCUGAGUUGGAAUCACAUGAAAAACAUAUUCUUUUAAAAGUAUUUUGGUGACAACAAGAAAAAAAGGUUGUUUGCCAAAGCACCACAAGAAACUUCCCCCGACUGGACAGGGAUAAUAUUUACAGUGAGCCUUCGAGAAGGAGUCCACUAUGUAAUCCUCUGUUCCUUCCUUCUAGGACUGCUGUUUGCCUCUCUAUUUCUAUGCCACAUUUUCCUCUGCUUUCCAAAUGUUGCUUUAUUGUAAAAAUAAGGAAAAAUCUGUCCCACUUAAUUCUUUAGGUCACCACAGUUGUUAAAUGCAUAACUCACUCUGACUGGAGGGUCCAGCUUUUUAAGUUGUUUUCUGUACCCAGAAGAACCUCUUCAUUCUUUUCAUCAUCUUUUUUCCCUGGUUUUGAUGUCAAUCUUGCUUUGUGGGACUGAAGCACUCAAGAGUAAAGGCAGCUGAAAUUGCCAGCACGUGCCUUAAGAGUGUCUGCUGCUCUCUGCAGAGCAGAGAUUUAAUAAUGAAGGUCACCCCAGAAAUUUAAUGGUUAAUCUUCAGCUUUUUCUACAGAAUAAACAACUCUUCUUCAGAAUAUAGAACUAUAAGGAUUAUUUUCAUGUGUAUUUAAAAAAAUCUCAUUGUUAAUGAAACAAAACCAUUGUACUGGCCAUCAUUUUUACUAAAUAAGUCUCAGUAUUUAAUCUCUUUUUUAUUGGAAAAAAUAUAAGACAAUUAAUUACUUCAGCCUACAAGCAAUUAUUUAGGUGAAAACAUUCCCACCUGUGCUGUAUCUGCCAAUGCACUGGAAUAAAAUUUUCCCUAGAAAAGUGAAAAAAGGCCCAGAAAGCUUGACAUGUACUUUCUUUUUUCUUUUUCUCUGUUGUACUUUUUCAUAGAUGUAUAAUUUGGUGAUGAAAUGCAUUUACCAUCAGUACUAUACUCAGUUUAACAGUCAGCUUUUUCUUGCAGAAAACCUGUAGCUCCUUUCUCCCUGAGCUACUUGCUGCCUGCAGCUGGGAAAGCUUUUCCCAUGGCUCCCAAUUAGCUGCCUACCCAAGCUGUCUUUUACAACUGGAUUAGAUAUCCAAGAUUCCCUUCAUAUGUCCCUCUGCUACCUGCUGCACUUCCAUUUGCAUUUGCAGCAACAUCCUUUACAAGUGGUCUGCCGCGUGGUUAUGCCACAGGAAGGUUUGCUGGAUCUGCAAUGUGAAAAAUGAGUAUUUUAUGAUUGGCUUUUCCCAAAUAGUAAAAUGAAUAUUAUAUGUUAGAAAGUUAUGCUGUGUUAAUUUUCUUGAGUAGUGUGUUAAAUAUAGUUUUAGGUUAUAACAUAAUGUUAAAAUAGAAACUAUGCUAUGUAAGAUACUUUUUUUAAAAGAGAGGAAUGAGUUACUCACACCAAGAGAGCAGCCACAGGACGCCUAAAUCUUGCAGAGAAAAAGAAUUUAUUGCCCCAUUAUCAGAAUAAACUAACUUCUUCCACCUUGCUCAGCCAUGAAAAUGCCAUUAGGAUUCAGAGGAAGAAGUUGACACUGACCAGACAGAAUCCUGUGUUUGAAUAGAAUUUAUGCAUCAUGUAUGAGAUGUGUGGAUAUGCAACAGGCUAUUGCUUUUAAGGGUUAAUCCUCUGUUAAGAGUGUCCUUUUUGGGGCUUAUUUUGCCCAGAAAGAGGUACCUGGACUGUCCGUAAUUCUUUGUUUUUAUUGUCUUGUAUUG